rnacentral:rRNA from 1 species
AACGAACGCUGGCGGCAGGCUUAACACAUGCAAGUCGAACGCCCCGCAAGGGGAGUGGCAGACGGGUGAGUAACGCGUGGGAACCUACCUCAUGGUGCGGAAUAACUCAGGGAAACUUGAGCUAAUACCGCAUGUGCCCUUCGGGGGAAAGAUUUAUCGCCAUGGGAUGGGCCCGCGUCGGAUUAGCUAGUUGGUGGGGUAACGGCCUACCAAGGCGACGAUCCGUAGCUGGUCUGAGAGGAUGAUCAGCCACACUGGGACUGAGACACGGCCCAGACUCCUACGGGAGGCAGCAGUGGGGAAUCUUAGACAAUGGGGGAGGCCCUGAUCUAGCCAUGCCGCGUGGACGAUGAAGGCCGUAGGGUUGUAAAGUCCUUUCAGCUGGGAAGAUAAUGACGGUACCAGCAGAAGAAGCCCCGGCUAACUCCGUGCCAGCAGCCGCCGUAAUAC